rnacentral:lncRNA from 1 species
GAUCGGGUGGAAUCUAGCUCGAACGGGUCCGACUGCCGUAGCUCUCCAUCGCCGGAGCUCCCUCCUCCGGCCGCCAAAGCCGGCGAUUCUUGGCUCAAAAGAAAGCUCUCCUCCCGUGCAGCAACCCCUCCAAAGAGCUCGCCCUCUCGUGGUCUAGGUAAGGAGAACCGGUGAGUGGAAGCUCUAGGGCUUUUUGAGUUGUUUUCGUUCGAUUAGCCUAGUUAGGCUUGGAAUUGGGUGUUGUGCUGGUCAUGAAAGUUGUAGAGCAUGAUGAGGUGAUUAUUCUGUCAAAAUUUCAUAGGUUUUGGAGGUCGCCGGAUUUGGCCUCCGGCCGCCGCUGCCGGUUAAGAGAUUUUUAGGGUUUUAAGUGUGGAAUAUUAAGAGGAGUAUAUUAAUGUGAUUUAUGGAAUUUUUGGAUGAGAUUUGGAUAGGUUUGUGAAUUUCUGAAGUGUGGUAUUUUUGGCGGUUAAUUAAUGUAGAAUCUGGCCGUAGGAUUUAAGUCGUAUUUUUGGGGAGGUUGUAAUUACGGUUGCCGAGUAUGAUAUUUAAGUUCGGAUCGUUUCGAUUUAAGAAUAUCGAAAUUAGGCAAUGAUGAGCGUAGUUAUGGCUCUCGGUUAAUUUUGCCUAUUUUGUUUAAAUAUUGGAGUUUUAGUUGGAAAAUUAAUUUUAUAUUUGUGCCAGGGUUCGAGGAAACCUCUCUGGAGUGGCGAUUUGGAUUUCGUCGGGCUUAUGCCUAGAAUUGUGAGUGGACGUUUAUUUUAAAUAAAUGCAUGCUAUGGGUCAUGGUUGAUCAAUUAAUGUUGCGGAAAUAUUUUAACGUCAUUUUAAUUUGACGAUUUUUAUUUCUCUUGGAGAGUUACCGAAAAUGGGAUUUUCGGUGGAUAUAAAUAUGUAUUUAUGAGAGAGUAUGUAUAUAAAUGCUAGCUAGCCAUAUGUGUCUGUCCACCUUAAUGGCGUAGCAUAUAGCCGUAUUAUGGUGUGACGUGAGCGUUGGACGCGAGCGUAGUAGCCCUAUAUGAGUGUCUAAUUCAUAUAGGGGGUAUGGACACAUAUUUAUACACCCGUCUGUCCACCUUAAUGGCGUAGUGUAGCACCGCAUUAAGGCGUGACGUGAGCGUUGGACACGAGCGUAGUAGCCCUAUAUAGACCCAUGAAUUUAUAUAGGGAGUAUGGACGUGUGUAAAUACAGUACAUAUAUUAUAGAG